rnacentral:rRNA from 1 species
UACGAAGGGAGCUAGCGUUGUUCGGAAUCACUGGGCGUAAAGCGCACGUAGGCGGAUGUGUCAGUCAGGGGUGAAAUCCCGGAGCUCAACUUCGGAACUGCCUUUGAUACAGCACGUCUUGAGUCCGAUAGAGGUGGGUGGAAUUCCUAGUGUAGAGGUGAAAUUCGUAGAUAUUCGCAAGAACACCAGUGGCGAAGGCGGCUCACUGGCCCGGUACUGACGCUGAGGCACGAAAGCUAGGGGAGCAAACGGG